rnacentral:lncRNA from 10 species
ACUUGUUAUUUGCCCCCACUAGUAUCCCCAUGAGGUGCCACAGAUCUCUAUCCGAAAUCCCCGAGGACUUUCAGAUGAACAGAUCCACACGAUCUUACAGGUGCUGGGCCACGUGGCCAAGGCUGGGCUGGGCACUGCCAUGCUGUAUGAACUCAUUGAGAAAGGGAAGGAAAUUCUCACAGAUAACAACAUCCCUCAUGGCCAGUGUGUCAUCUGCCUCUAUGGUUUCCAGUGCCCUACAUCUGCCUUCCCUCUAGGAGAAGGAGGCCUUUACCAAAACACCCUGUUACCACUACUUCCACUGCCACUGCCUUGCUCGGUACAUCCAGCACAUGGAGCAAGAGCUGAAGGCACAAGGACAGGAGCAGGAACAGGAACGGCAGCA